GCUGAUGGAGCACGCCGCGUGAGUGAAGAAGGUCUUCGGAUCGUAAAACUCUGUUAUUAGGGAAGAACAAAUGUGUAAGUAACUAUGCACGUCUUGACGGUACCUAAUCAGAAAGCCCCGGCUAACUACGUGCCCGCAGCCCCGGUAAUAA
rnacentral:rRNA from 1 species